GAUAAACGCUAGCGGCAGGCUUAACACAUGCAAGUCGAGGGGCAGCAUAGAUUGUAGCAAUACAAUUGGUGGCGACCGGCGCACGGGUGCGUAACGCGUUUGCAACCCACCCGUCACAGGGGGAUAAUCCGGAGAAAUCUGGUCUAAUACCCCAUAACAUAUGGAUCGGCAUCGGUUCAUGUUGAAAUUUUCGGAGGUGACGGAUGGGCAUGCGUAGCAUUAGCUUGUUGGUGAGGUAACGGCUCACCAAGGCGACGAUGCUUAGGGGGACUGAGAGGUUUUCCCCCCACACUGGUACUGAGACACGGACCGGACUCCUACGGGAGGCAGCAGUGAGGAAUAUUGGUCAAUGGGCGCAAGCCUGAACCAGCCAUGCCGCGUGCAGGAUGACGGCUCUAUGAGUUGUAAACUGCUUUUGUACGAGGGUAAAGUGGGUUACGUGUAACCUUUUGAAAGUAUCGUACGAAUAAGGAUCGGCUAACUCCGUGCCAGCCGCCGCCGUAA
rnacentral:rRNA from 1 species